rnacentral:tRNA from 1 species
GCGGGUGUAGCUCAAUCGGUAGAGCGUCGGGUUGUGGUUCCGAAGGUAGUGGGUUCAAAACCCAUCACUCGCCCCA